UUUCUAAUGCAAGUCCUAAAUUGAAUUCCGAAGGUGCUAUGAUUGGACCAAUAAUAAGUUUUAAUUAACAUUUCGCAUUUUGAUAGGAAUCUGUGUAUGGAUUUUUCAAUUCCUACACGGAGCCGUUUCGUGCGAUUACAAUU